rnacentral:tRNA from 1 species
AGCUCAGUGGUAGAGCGCUUGCCUAGCAUGCAGGAAGCCCUGGGUUCGAUUCCUCAG